rnacentral:rRNA from 1 species
AUUGAACGCUGGCGGCAGGCCUAACACAUGCAAGUCGAGCGGGGUUUUCGGACCUAGCGGCGGACGGGUGAGUAAUGCGUAGGAAGCUGCCCGAUAGAGGGGGAUACCCAGAUGGGAAACGACUGUUAAUACCGCAUAAUGUCUACGGACCAAAGUGUGGGACCUUCGGGCCAACAUGGCUAUCGGAUGCGCCUACGUGG